rnacentral:rRNA from 1 species
AUACAGAGGGUGCAAGCGUUAAUCGGAAUUACUGGGCGUAAAGCGCACGUAGGUGGAUAUUUAAGUUGGGUGUGAAAGCCCCGGGCUCAACCUGGGAUGGUCAUCCAAAACUGGAUAUCUAGAGUACGGUAGAGGGAAGUGGAAUUUCAGGUGUAGCGGUGAAAUGCGUAGAUAUCUGAAGGAACAUCAGUGGCGAAGGCGACUUCCUGGACUGAUACUGACACUGAGGUGCGAAAGCGUGGGUAGCGAACAGGAUUAGAUACCCUGGUAGUCCACGCCGUAAACGAUGAGAACUAGCCGUUGGAGAUAUUAAAAUCUCUUGUGGCGCAGCUAACGCGUUAAGUUCUCCGCCUGGGGAGUACGGCCGCAAGGUUUAA